CUUAAAAAUAUAAUAUAGACUGUGCAAAAUCUUGUCAAUCUUCAAGAAUAGGUAUACUUGUACCCUCAUCUACAUCUGAGCAGUGUAUGUAUUUUACAACGGUGUUCAUAUAACAUUAAAUAGAGAAUUUCAAUUAUGAACUUAUGGUUCAGGCUCAUAAAAAUUAUGAAGCAAUUUCACAAGGGAGUGAGAGGGGGGGGGGUAUAUAUAUAUCUGCUAAUUAAAUAAAAUAUGAGAACACCAGAUAAUAUAUCCCUACGGAUCUAUACUAGAAUUUGCAUGAUCAUUUAUUCAAGCUCCAUACUGAUGGUUCAUUCACUGCAAAAUUUUGAAUUAUAUCAAAGAACAUUGAUCUUUUCUCCAACUUUUAAUACCAAUCAAGCACAGGCAAUAUGCAUCGCUUGGGGUCGAAUUUACUAUUAAAGAGUACUCUUUAAUAGUAAAUUCGAACACAAGUGAUGCAUAUUGCCUGUGCAAUCAAGGUACUUUACAUGUACAUCAGAUAUGUACAUUUCCACUCAAACUACUUGUAUACAAGAAUGGAACCAGCUGAACGUGAGCCAGGUUAUAUAUUAUAUAUUUGCUCUCCUACCCCUUUGAUUCAGUACUGUGUAAGGAAAUAUACUAUUGAGUAUAUAUAUUUCUUAAAAAGAAUAACAAUUUUCAUUCAUAUUUUAUUCAACAUAUAUAUACACAGGUUGAUAACAAUGGCUGAUCUGCAUAUAAUGACUGCUAGUUAUUGGCUGGUAUGCAGUGAAAGGGAGCUAAAAAGGAGUAAAAAGUUCAUAUCAGCCAGGUAGUGUGGUUUAAAUAAACCAGUGUUAACCUGGAAAAGAGGAGGGAUGCCACAAUAUUGAUAAUAGACUUUUGUCAAUUUGAGAAGCAAAGAUGUAUAAAAAAAAAAAAAAAAAAAAAAAAAAAAAAAUUAAAUAAAUAAUGCUGAAAUUAUAAUUCAUGUAUUUGUUAAAAAUACUGUUCACUGUACAUACAUGUAUAUUUUUUUUAACUUAUUUGGAAAUACAUGAAGUAAUUCAUAUUAAAACUGAAUGUAUGAGUUUUCAUGAUUUUUAUCAAUAAAGCUUACCAUAUUUAUUGUACAAAUAUCUGAUUUCCCCUAUACAUUGUAGUCAUAUGAGAGCUUGCUUGCAUUCAGAGAUAUGACAUCAUGUAUAAAGCCGAGUUAAACAACUUCAAAAUCUACCCAACAUGUUUUAAAUGAACACAAAAGAUUCUUCCUAAUUUCUUCUCUCUUUUUUUCAAUUUUGUUCAUAAAUUUAUAUUUAAGUCAAUUCACCUUUUUCAAACUUUUGAUGCAUAUGACGGAUUUCCUCUGUAUUGCUAUAUCUAUCAGGCCCAGCACAAUCUCUAUAUUUAACUAUAUAGUUUUAUAAAGCUAUUUCAAACAGCUUCAUUAAGCUAGUUUCGAUUAAAUUUCUUAAGUGCAAUGACACAUAACAAUAUACAUGUACUUUGAACUAACCACAACACUAUUCUAUGUAUAGAUCAUAUGUCAUUUUAAGAAUUUUCAUGAAAAGAGAAUUUCUUUUGUAUUGAUAACUGUCCACUGCCUUAUGUGUGUCGAAGCUUUGAUAAGUAUAUGAUGACUUUACAAUGUGGAAUCUGUAACAACUUAAUAAUCCUAAACAUUUGACAAUUUUGAAUCAAAAUUCUUCCUAAGAUACAUAGUUUAAGAAGCUUUUUUUGUUUACAGUGUGUUGUUUCAAGUACAAGGAUGAAAUAUUUUCACUUAGAAAUUAAAUUUUUAUGCUUUAAAAAUAUAUUUGAUAGAAGAUUUGAAAUAGUUAUAUCAAGCAAUUUCAAUUAGCUUUAAAAAGCUAUAUAGCUUGAUUAGCAUAUUUAUAUAGCUAAUUAUACUAGAGAUUGUGCUGGACCAGUCUAUGAGCACAUAAUUGAAAUUAUGUUGCUGAAAGGAAUUAUAAUAUUACCUUAAUCAUGAUCAGAUAUAUAUUUUGUUCAGUGAUAUAAAUAUGAGCAGUAAUCACAAAUACCUACUGGAUUGUGAAAAGUCAAUAAAAUGACUACAACAAUAAAUAGUCAUGCUAAA